rnacentral:lncRNA from 1 species
CAGCGGCUCACGCCUGUGAUGCAAACACUUUGGGAGGCCGAGGUGGAAGGGCUGCUUGGGGCCAGAAGUUCAAGACCAGCCUGGGCAACCUGCCCCCACCCUCCAGGCGGUCAGCCCUGUGCUGAGUCUCACCUCCUCUUCAGGAAGAAAAUCAGCAGGCCCACGAGGAUGAGAAACAGGAGGAUGCCCACAAAGGCUCCGGCAAUGACCCCUGUGGGGAGGAGGCAUCGGGAACCCUCAGAGCGCAGGUCUGAGCUGCUCAUCUGUCUCCAACCCUGCCCAGCCUUUCCUCUUCCCCAGGAGCCUGGUCCAAAGACAGCUGACCCCCGAACAUCACACGGUGUGAAUUGCGUCGGUCCAGUUAUACUUACGCGCUUACCCAUGGAUUUUCCUCCACCCCUGAGACAGCAAGACCAGCCCCUCUCCUACCUCCUCCUCCUCCUCCGCCUACUCAACGCGAAGACUACAAGGAGGAAGACCUUUAUGAUGAUCUACUUAAUAAAUAGCGAGUACAUUUUCUCUUCCUUAGGAUAUUCUUAGUAACAUUUUUUUCUUUAGCUACUUGAUUAUAAGAAUACAGCAUAUAGUACGGCUGGGAUUAUAGGCAUGAGCCACCAUGCCCGGCUGUUAUAUGCAGAUUUUCUACUGUGUAGGGGACAAUUGUUCAAGGGUCAACUAUCCAUCAUUUUCACAGGUGACCUGGUUGCUGAAGAGUGACUCCUGGCCAGGCAUGGUGGCUCACCCCUGUAAUCCCAACACUUUGGGAGGCUGAGGUGGGUGGAUCACUUGAGCCCAGGAGUUUGAGACCAGCCUGGGCAACAUAACAAAACCCAGUCUCUACUAAAAAAACAAAAGUUAGCUGGGUAUGGUGGUGCACACCUGUCAUCCCAACUACUCAGGAGGCUGAGCAUAAGAGUCACUUGAACCCGGGAGGUGGAGGCUGCAGUGAGCUGAGAUUGCACGACUGCACUCCAGACUGGGUGAUAGAGUGAGACUCUGUCUCAAAAAAAAAAAAAAGAAAAAGAAA